UAAAGAAAACGUAAAGCCAUUUGCCUUUACUCCUAUUCUCUGUAAUCGACGAUUAAGCAGCUAGGGUUGGUGACUAUCGAAGAUGACGAUUGAGCAAAGAAAAAGGGUUGAAACUGGCGAUUCAUCUUCGUUUCACUUCAGCCAUGGCUUCUCACGCCAGAAUUCUCCUUGUAAAAAAACAAAAGCUCAAAAAGAACAUUAAAGAAGACUUUGGAGCCUUCGUUGAGAAGCUUUAGCUUCUCCGUCCACCUUAACCUGCUCCUCCCAAGGCUUCUCAUCCUCUCACUUCUCUCACCUUCGUCGUCUCCGACAUAUUGAUAUUGAGGUUAUGUUACUGGUCUUGGCCAUCCGAAGUGGGCGACUACAAGCGGUGCAACUCUAGAACGAUGAUGGUGGUUUCGAAUCUAUGGAAGGAGGUGCCACUUGCAUUGGUAAAACGGUGGUGGAUGAACUAGCUUAUAGGCUGCAGCACAUGCUCGAGUUCUUGGUAGACCAUAUAGUGGAUUGUUUUAGGCAACUC